GACGAACGCUGGCGGCGUGCUUAACACAUGCAAGUCGAGCGGGGAACUUCGGUUCCCAGCGGCGGACGGGUGAGUAACACGUGGGGAACCUGCCCCAUAGUGGGGAAUAGCCUUCCGAACGGAAGAUUAAUACCGCAUAAUACUCAGAAAUCACAUGAUUUCUGAGCCAAAGGAUUUAUUCGCUAUGAGAUGGACCCGCGGCGCAUUAGCUUGUUGGUGAGGUAACGGCUCACCAAGGCUUCGAUGCGUAGCCGACCUGAGAGGGUGAUCGGCCACAUUGGAGCUGAGACACGGUCCAGACUCCUAGGGGAGGCAGCAGUGGGGAAUAUUGCACAAUGGGGGAAACCCUGAUGCAGCAACGCCGCGUGAGUGAUGAAGGUCUUCGGAUCGUAAAACUCUGUCUUAUGGGACGAUAAUGACGGUACCAUAGGAGGAAGCCACGGCUAACUACGUGCCAGCAGCCGCCGUAA
rnacentral:rRNA from 1 species